GAACGAAGUGCACCUUCGGGUGUACUUAGUGGCGGAAGGGUUAGUAAUACAUGGGUAAUCUGCNUUUAACACCGGAAUAACGGCUGGAAGCGGCCGCUAAUGCCGGAUGUGGUGAUUUGUAGGCAUCUACAGAUCAUUAAAGUUUGGGAUCGAGAGAUCGACCUUUCGGUUAAAGAGGGGCCCAUGGGAUAUCAGCUUGUUGGUGGGGUAAAAGCCUACCAAGGCUAAGACGUCUAGGCGAGUUGAGAGAUUGACCGCCAACACUGGGACUGAGACACUGCCCAGACUCCUACGGGAGGCUGCAGUCGAGAAUAUUUCGCAAUGGGCGCAAGCCUGACGAAGCGACGCCGUGUGAGUGAAGAAGGCCCUCGGGUCGUAAAGCUCUUUCGCUUGGGAACAAGAGAAGAUGGUCAAUAUCCAUCUGAUUUGAGCGUACCAGGUAAAGAAGCACCGGCUAACUCCGUGCCAGCAGCUGCGGUAAUACGGAGGGUGCAAGCAUUAAUCGGAUUCAUUGGGCGUAAAGGGGGCGCAGGCGGAAAUGUAAGCCAGACGUGAAAUCCCGGGGCUCAACCCCGGAACUGCAUUUGGAACUACAUAUCUAGAGGAUAGGCGGAGAAAACGGAAUUCCACAUGUAGCGGUGAAAUGCGUAGAUAUGUGG
rnacentral:rRNA from 1 species